rnacentral:rRNA from 1 species
GAUGAACGCUGGCGGCGUGCCUAAUACAUGCAAGUCGAGCGAACAGACGAGGAGCUUGCUCCUCUGACGUUAGCCGCGGACGGGUAAGUAACACGUGGAUAACCUACCUAUAAGACUGGGAUAACUUCGGGAAACCGGAGCUAAUACCGGAUAAUAUAUUGAACCGCAUGGUUCAAUAGUGAAAGACGGUUUUGCUGUCACUUAUAGAUGGAUCCGCGCCGCAUUAGCUAGUUGGUAAGGUAACGGCUUACCAAGGCAACGAUGCGUAGCCGACCUGAGAGGGUGGUAGGCCACACUGGAACUGAGACACGCUCCAGACUCCUACGGGAGGCAGCAGUAGGGAAUCGUCCGCAAUGGGCGAAAGCCUGACGGAGCAACGCCGCGUGAGUGAUGAAGGUCUUCGGAUCGUAAAACUCUGUUAUUAGGGAAGAACAAAUGUGUAAGUAACUAUGCACGUCUUGACGGUACCUAAUCAGAAAGCCACGGCUAACUACGUG